UAAAAUACACCUCACUGGUCUCAAGCUCAACAGACUCCACAGUUUUUGCUAAUUCAAGGUUUCAAUGCAAAUGAACUGAUGUCUGUUUCAUAUUUAAACAGCUACACUGUGGAGUGCAGGACUCAUCACCAGAUCAGCCUUCAUCUAAACCAUGUUCACUUCAUUUCUCUUGCUGUUGCUAGCUGCUGUGUCUUGUAUUGACUGUCAGGUUGUGCUCACACAGUCUGAACAGUCAGUAGUUGUGUCUCCAGGUGCUUCCUACAAACUGACCUGUGCCUGCAGUGGGUUUACUGUUAGUAGCACUCACAUGCACUGGAUCCGUCAGGCACCUGGAAAAGGACUGGAAUGGAUUAUUUAUCAUUAUGAUGAAUAUAAUAAGAACUCAGCUCAGUCAGUUCAGGGCAGAUUCACAGCAUCUAAGGACAGCUCUAAUCUCUAUCUGCACAUGAGUCAGUUAAAGACUGAAGACACUGCAGUGUAUUACUGUGCAAGAGACACAGUGGAAGCACAAAUACAAGCACCUGUUCAAAAACUAUUCAUGAGAAACAUGAUGGUGGACUGAAGAGAUGUUGGUUAU